AUUUCGAUGCCAUUGUCCUUGCCGCUCCCUAGACCUUUAUUUAAAUUGGAGAAGGAUAUCGUCAUGGAACACGAAUCUUUCAAAAGACCCGGAUUUCAAGUAAACACCGUACAACAACACCAACUUUCUAUAAACGCACAAGGUAAAGCCGCUACUAAUCUGUCUGUCAUCUCUAUCAUCCUGAGAUCCUGAUAAACACCUGGGCAAGUCCCUGAGAGGUCUCCGCGUGUGUCAACGUCGAGCUCCGAAAUUGGAUGGAGGCGCGACGUCGGUGAGAAAGAAUCGGGAGAGCAAGCGAAGCGUUCAGCGUGCUUUCGUACGGCCGUAGGUGCACUCGGUCGACUGGCGCGCUUUCAUGACGCCUCACCCGAUGCGGGUGAUCACCAGGGCCAACGGGACUCUCGGUUGCUCUCUCAACACUCCGCUCGUGGCUACGAUCGAGGCAGCGCCAGGCUAAGCCGUUCCCUGCCUCGCCACCUCACCCCUGCCACCUCGUCGGGCAACCUGGCUGUCUUUCCAUUCCGACCUGGCUCUUUGAACUUCUCUCUCUCUCUCUCUCUCUCUCUCUCUCUCUUUCUUUUUCUCUCCCACCUGCUUCGUCCGCCUCCUUCUCCCCUCCGACCUGGCCUGCCCAGGCUAAACAUCCAACGCAGCCGCCAUCACUACUGCAUCCGCUGCCUCGGACUCCCACCGACUGUCGAGCUUUCCUUCUCUCUUUCACUCUUGCUUGCUCUUGUCAUGUAUAUUGUGUAUACACGUACAUGGUGUGCACGAGUGUGAUAUACAGACGAGUGUUAUAUAGUUGUGUGCCGGUGAGCCCAGUAACGUAGCUAGAAGAAGAUAAUUCAAGUUGCAAACGAGAUAAUGAAUGAAUUAUUUGUGAAUCUCGGUACAAACAACUCAUUGUAUUUGCUACGAAUACAUUUCAUUUCAUUUCC